GACAGGAUGUGAAUGAAGCCUACAUAUACAUAAAUCAAAAUGACACAGCUUUAUAAUUAAAUGGAAACAAAAGUUAGGCGUUCGCUAAAGAUUGGAGAGUUCGUUCGGGAAUCAAAUUACACCAAACUGUGGAUUGAGCUGUCAGAUUCAAUUGCUCACAGGUUGUGAUAGACUGAAAAUACAGGGCAAGCAAGAAGAAGUGAAAUUUAAAUUUUUGGAUUAUACACUUGCUAUAGCUGCAUUUAGAAGCAAUUCAGAGACUGCAAGGAAAACAAAUGUUGUGGCGGUAAAUAGCAAUGAAAUCGAAGACCAUGCAUAAAGAAGUGUAUAAAGUACGAGUACGUAUGACAAAGAUCAAGAUGAAGAAAUCGGGAGGCGGAGAAGGGACGGAAAAAGAGCGGGAAUACAACAAAAGGACAGUAAUAAAGGGAGUGAGCUCUGAUUAAAAACUUUGAAUUGAUAAUUUUUCAUAAUUUACCUCUAUUGUCUAUUUUAAAAUUUAUUUUGUAAAUUAUGAUUGAAUUGAUGUAUAUAAAAUAUUUUCACAGUGAA